GAGUUUGAUCCUGGCUCAGGAUGAACGCUGGCGGCGUGCCUAACACAUGCAAGUCGAACGAAGCACUGAGAGUUUGAGAUUUCGGUCAAGAACUUUCUUUGACUUAGUGGCGGACGGGUGAGUAAUGCGUGAGCAACCUGCCUUUCAGAGGGGGACAACAGUUGGAAACGACUGCUAAUACCGCAUGAUAUAUUCGGAUGGCAUCAUCUGAAUAUCAAAGAUUUAUCGCUGAAAGAUGGGCUCACGUCUGAUUAGUUAGUUGGUGAGGUAACGGCUCACCAAGACUGCGAUCAGUAGCCGGACUGAGAGGUUGAACGGCCACAUUGGGACUGAGAUACGGCCCAGACUCCUACGGGAGGCAGCAGUGGGGAAUAUUGGGCAAUGGGCGAAAGCCUGACCCAGCAACGCCGCGUGAAGGAAGAAGGUCUUCGGAUUGUAAACUUCUUUUAUCAGGGACGAAGUAAGUGACGGUACCUGAUGAAUAAGCCACGGCUAACUACGUGCCAGCCGCCGCGGUAAUUC
rnacentral:rRNA from 1 species